UUCAUUCGUGUGUGCCAGAUGCUCACAUAUUACUAUGAGGAGUACUGUAGGAAAGCCAAUAAAUAAUACAUUUGAAUGGCUAUCAGACAGAGUCAGAAGCACUCUCAGCUUUAUAUUUAGUUAGGGACUGAGUGGAAACCUUCCUCCCUCCACCACACCAUUCCUGAGCAACUAGACCACCUCCAGAGCUAGGAUAGCAGAAGAUAGAACAAACUUCUAUUUCUUGGAAGGCCAGUUUAAUGGAUCUCAACCUCAUGGCCAACCCAGGAGAAGAUGGAGCAAUGGCAAGACCUAAGAGCACUUUAUGAGAAUCACCAACAAUGGAAAAAAUAGAAACUUG